CUGGCGGUAUGCUUAACACAUGCAAGUCGAACGGCAGCACGAGAAAGCUUGCUUCUUGGUGGCGAGUGGCGGACGGGUGAGUAAUGCAUACGGAAUCUACCUCGAAGCGGGGGAUAACCCGGGGAAACUCGGGCUAAUACCGCAUAAUCUCUACGGAGGAAAGCAGGGGAUCUUCGGACCUUGCACUUUGAGAUGAGCCUAUGUCAGAUUAGCUAGUUGGUAGGGUAAAGGCCUACCAAGGCAAUGAUCUGUAGCUGGUCUGAGAGGAUGACCAGCCACACUGGGACUGAGACACGGCCCAGACUCCUACGGGAGGCAGCAGUGGGGAAUAUUGCGCAAUGGGCGAAAGCCUGACGCAGCGACGCCGCGUGGGUGAUGAAGGCCUUCGGGUCGUAAAGCCCUGUCGCAGGGGAAGAAUAAGCAUCGGUAUAAUACGCCGGUGCCCUGACGGUACCCUGCAAGAAAGCACCGGCUAACUCUGUG
rnacentral:rRNA from 1 species